UUUGAAUUCUGCCAUUCAAACCGGAAGCCAUGUUUUUGUUCAUACAGCAACUUGAUGGUGUCCCAUAUUUAGGUAGCUUGGCUACUUUUGUACACAAGUCUGCUUUACACUGUUUUUGACUUUUAGGAUAGAAAUGUUAAACUGACGAAAGAUAAGAUUCACUUCGCAGCAGGUAUGGCUAAAGAACAACAGCCUCAAUGGUCGGAUAUUUUGAAAAGGAGGUUAGCAAACACCAAAAAAGAUGAGAAAAGCGACGAGGAAAAGAAAGCAGAAGAAACUGAGCUGUUCACCAAAUAUUACACAGAGUGGAAGGGAGGAGGCGACAAAGACAAGUCCUACAAGAACAUCCCACGAUUUUACUACAGGCUACCAGCAGAGGAUGAAGUAUUACUUCAGAAACUGAGAGAGGAAUCCAGAGCUGUCUUCCUCCAGAGGAAGAGCAGAGAACUGCUGGAUAAUGAGGAACUACAGAAUCUGUGGUUUCUGCUUGAUAAGCACCAAGUGCCUCCAGUGAGUGGGGAGGAGGCCAUGAUUAGCUAUGAAGCCUACUUACAGGUGGGAGAAAAGGCCGGGCCCAAGUGCACAAAAUUCUUCACAGCCAGAGUGUACUCCAAGCUGCUGCACAGCGACCCUUACGGCAGGAUCUCCAUCAUGCAGUUCUUUAACUACGUAAUGAGAAAAGUAUGGCUGCAUCAGACCAGGAUAGGUCUGAGUUUGUAUGAUGUAGCAGGACAGGGUCACCUCAGAGAGUCAGAUCUUGAGAACUACAUCUUGGAGCUGAUCCCCACUCUGCCUCAAUUGGAUGGACUGGAGAAGUCCUUCUACUCUUUCUACGUCUGCACCGCUGUUCGCAAGUUCUUUUUUUUUCUCGACCCCCUCCGAACAGGAAAGAUUAAAAUCCAGGAUAUAUUGGCCUGCAGUUUUCUGGACGACUUGUUGGAGUUAAGAGACGAGGAGCUUUCUAAAGAGAGCCAGGAGUCCAACUGGUUCUCAGCCCCAUCGGCUCUCAGAGUCUACGGCCAGUACCUCAACCUGGAUAAGGACCACAACGGCAUGUUGAGCAAAGAGGAGCUUUCACGCUACGGCACAGCUACGCUCACCUCCGUCUUCUUGGACAGAGUGUUUCAGGAGUGUCUCACCUACGAUGGAGAAAUGGACUAUAAGACCUAUUUGGACUUUGUAUUGGCGUUGGAAAACAGGAAGGAGCCAGCAGCGUUACAGUAUAUUUUUAAACUUUUGGACAUGGAGAAUCAAGGAUACCUCAACGUCUUCUCCCUCAACUAUUUCUUCAGGGCCAUUCAGGAGCAGAUGAAACUCCACGGCCAGGAGCCUGUUACCUUCCAGGAUGUCAAGGAUGAGAUCUUUGACAUGGUGAAGCCCAAAGACCCCUAUAAGAUCACACUCCAAGACUUGGUGAACAGUUGCCAGGGUGAUACCGUCACCAGCAUACUGAUUGAUCUCAACGGUUUCUGGACCUAUGAGAACAGGGAAGUGCUGGUUGCCAACGACAAUGACGGAAGCAAUACAGCCGAUCUCGACGACAGCUAAGGAUGAUAUGGGGUUGAAGUGUAGAACACUCUGUAGAACACUCUGGUAACACUCUUACCAAUAGGUCAUAGUUUUACUCCCAAUCUGAAAGCACUGAACAACGUCUACAUUGUGAAAAUCUUGAGGAAAUGAAUAGAGAUGAAUAGAGAAAAGCCAGACAAAGUGCUUUAUGUUCCUGCCUGCUAUUCUCCUGUAAAGACCAUGUUUUUGUUAUUGACCCCUCUGUGAAAUAAAUGUUUCCCUUUUCUUUGUAUAAUGGAAGUACCUCAUUAUUGACACCCGCUUAAUCGAACACGCGUGACAAAAAAAGCUCAUUUACAAGUU